AUUGAACGCUGGCGGCAGGCCUAACACAUGCAAGUCGAGCGGAUGAAGGGAGCUUGCUCCUGGAUUCAGCGGCGGACGGGUGGGUAAUGCCUGGGAAUCUGCCUGGUAGUGGGGGAUAACGUCCGGAAACGGGCGCUAAUACCGCAUACGUCCUGAGGGAGAAAGUGGGGGAUCUUCGGACCUCACGCUAUCAGAUGAGCCUAGGUCGGAUUAGCUAGUUGGUGGGGUAAAGGCCUACCAAGGCGACGAUCCGUAGCUGGUCUGAGAGGAUGAUCAGUCACACUGGAACUGAGACACGGUCCAGACUCCUACGGGAGGCAGCAGUGGGGAAUAUUGGACAAUGGGCGAAAGCCUGAUCCAGCCAUGCCGCGUGUGUGAAGAAGGUCUUCGGAUUGUAAAGCACUUUAAGUUGGGAGGAAGGGCAGUAAGUUAAUACCUUGCUGUUUUGACGUUACCAACAGAAUAAGCACCGGCUAACUUCGUG
rnacentral:rRNA from 1 species